rnacentral:misc_RNA from 1 species
UCCGGUUUGGCACCGGCAGUCUCCCUAGAGUCCCCGGCAUCACCCGCUGGUAACUAGGAACAGGGGUUGCGCUCGUUGCGCCACUUAAGGCAACACCUCACGGCACGAGCUGACGACAGCCAUGCAGCACCUGUGCAGGCUCCCGAAGGAGGGCCGGCUUUCACCGGCUUCACCCUGCAUGUCAAGCCCUGGUAAGGUUCUUCGCGUUGCGUCGAAUUAAGCCACAUGCUCCGCCGCUUGUGCGGGUCCCCGUCAAUUCCUUUGAGUUUUAGCCUUGCGGCCGUACUCCCCAGGCGGGGUGCUUAAUGCGUUAGCUUCGGCACGGAACGGGUUGGUAGCCGCCCCACACCUAGCACCCAACGUUUACAGCGUGGACUAC